rnacentral:rRNA from 1 species
UGCCUUCCGAGUUCCCUGGAACGGGACGCCAUAGAGGGUGAGAGCCCCGUCUGGUUGGAUGCCAAAUCUCUGUAAAGUUCCUUCGACGAGUCGAGUAGUUUGGGAAUGCUGCUCUAAAUGGGAGGUAUAUGUCUUCUAAAGCUAAAUACCGGCCAGAGACCGAUAGCGCACAAGUAGAGUGAUCGAAAGAUGAAAAGCACUUUGAAAAGAGAGUUAAAAAGUACGUGAAAUUGUUGAAAGGGAAGCGUUUAUGACCAGACUUGGGCUUGGUUAAUCAUCUGGGGUUCUCCCCAGUGCACUUUUCCAGUCCAGGCCAGCAUCAGUUUUCCCCGGGGGAUAAAGACUUCGGGAAUGUGGCUCUCUUCGGGGAGUGUUAUAGCCCGUUGUGUAAUACCCUGGGGGGGACUGAGGUUCGCGCAUCUGCAAGGAUGCUGGCGUAAUGGUCAUCAACGACCCGUCUUGAAACACGGACCAAGGAGUCGUCUUCGUAUGCGAGUGUUCGGGUGUCAAACCCCUACGCGUAAUGAAAGUGAACGCAGGUGAGAGCUUCGGCGCAUCAUCGACCGAUCCUGAUGUUCUCGGAUGGAUUUGAGUAAGAGCAUACGGGGCCGGACCCGAAAGAAGGUGAACUAUGCCUGUAUAGGGUGAAGCCAGAGGAAACUCUGGUGGAGGCUCGCAGCGGUUCUGACGUGCAAAUCGAUCGUCAAAUAUGGGCAUGGGGGCGAAAGACUAAUCGAACCUUCUAGUAGCUGGUUUCCGCCGAAGUUUCCCUCAGGAUAGCAGUGUUGAACUCAGUUUUAUGAGGUAAAGCGAAUGAUUAGGGACUCGGGGGCGCUAUUUAGCCUUCAUCCAUUCUCAAACUUUAAAUAUGUAAGAAGCUCUUGUUGCUUAAUUGAACGUGAGCAUUCGAAUGUAUCAACACUAGUGGGCCAUUUUUGGUAAGCAGAACUGGCGAUGCGGGAUGAACCGAACGCGAGGUUAAGGUGCCAGAGUAGACGCUCAUCAGACACCACAAAAGGUGUUAGUACAUCUUGACAGCAGGACGGUGGCCAUGGAAGUCGGAAUCCGCUAAGGACUGUGUAACAACUCACCUGCCGAAUGUACUAGCCCUGAAAAUGGAUGGCGCUCAAGCGUCUCACCCAUACCUCGCCCUNAGGGUAGAAACGAUGCCCUGAGGAGUAG